rnacentral:rRNA from 1 species
AUUGAACGCUGGCGGAAUGCUUUACACAUGCAAGUCGAGCGGCAGCGCGGGGGCAACCCUGGCGGCGAGCGGCGAACGGGUGAGUAACAUAUCGGAACGUACCCCGUCGUGGGGGAUAACACAGCGAAAGCUGUGCUAAUACCGCAUACGACCUGAGGGUGAAAGCGGGGGAUCGCAAGACCUCGCGCGAUGGGAGCGGCCGAUAUCGGAUUAGCUUGUUGGUGAGGUAAAGGCUCACCAAGGCGACGAUCCGUAGCUGGUCUGAGAGGACGACCAGCCACACUGGAACUGAGACACGGUCCAGACUCCUACGGGAGGCAGCAGUGGGGAAUUUUGGACAAUGGGGGCAACCAUGAUCCAGCCAUUCCGCGUGAGUGAAGAAGGCC